rnacentral:lncRNA from 1 species
GGUUCACCAGUGACUUGGUGACAACCAGCCUUGCUCAGGAAGCGUCAGCCGUAUCCUUUCUGUGUGCAGUGGGGUGUGGGUUGUGUGGAGCCGCGGUGUCUGUGGAGUUCACAGGCUGGGGUCGGAAUCCAUGGCCCCCGUCGCCGCUGCCACCCCCCAGGCAUUUGUUUUAUUGCUCUUUUUUCACCAACUCAAACUGAAUGGUCACCUUAACAGUUUUAUUGAGAUCCAUUAUUUAUUCUUCUCCAUCUUGUUCUGUGUUCCUGGAAGCCAACCUUUAUAAGCUGCAGGAAAUGGACUUCCUACUCUCCAGCUUCUGAUUGGGCUUGACCAACGGGGAGCACUGGCAGAAGACAAGCAUGGGAGGAAAAAGAGAUCAGGGUAUUCAUUUCCCCAGAUCCCUCCCUGUCCUCUACUUAAAGGUCAUAAGUCCAUCCAGGUGUCAUCUCUUAUGUAGGAUUCUAGCGACAUCUUCUCCCCUUGUUCCUUUAGGCUUAGGAGUAAUAACACUUUUCUGUUCUUGCUAGUCCUGAGGAUAAGUGUUUUGUCACCUCUUGUUGAUUUCCCUGACUUCAAAUACCAAACACUAUUUUUUUUCUAUUUUUGAACUUUAUGUAAGUAGAAUCAUACAGUAUAUAUUUUGGGGGGUAAGGUUUUUUUUUGUUUUGUUUUACUCAAUAAUAGGUUUGUGAGCAUCAUCCAUGCUAUUGCAUAAAACAGUAGUUUGUUUUCAUUGCUGCAUAGUAUUUUUCACUUAUACAUUGUACUAUUAAUAAAUAUUUGAGGGUUUUUUUCCCCAAAA